CAUCUGGCUCGGGCCACUCUGACACCUUUAGUUUCGGCAAGGGAUAUUGGGGUGGCGAAGGGGAGGCGGGGGCCCGAAGGCUUCGGAAAACGAUGGGGGAGGGGGCAGAGGAUACCCGUCGAAGCCCCCCCCUCCCCCAACAUUUCGAUAUUGGAAUCACUUUCCUUCUUCCUCGGGCCAGCCUUUGCUCUGUCCCCUCAGGUCAACUCAAGGUAGACAGUGUGGCGACUGGAGAGGUCGGGGAACAAGCUUUGUUUCAGCUAAGGGGAAAACAAGCGUUCACAGGAGUCCCCUGACACCUCCCACUCGGAAGAUAGCUAACGGGGGUCCUGCCAACCCUUCCCAUCCAACUUCCAUCUGAAAAGGAUUUUCUGCUAAAGUUGGGUCCAUGGCCAUCCAGCACCUGUAAGGCCGGCAGGAGCGUCUGCCCUCUACUCAGUUAAAGCCUGAAGUCGUUUCCUUUCGAUGGCCCUUAGGAGGCCCAAAAGAGGGGCGACAGAACAUGAUGUUGACACGGGCUGGGCGCCCCCAGAAGCCCGGGAACAAACGUUUCUACUUUCCAGGUCCACUGGUGUUUGGUGUACCCAUGUGACUAAUUUGUCCAAAGAGAGAUUUCUGUGAAUAGACCAGAAGCCGACCUUUACAGUGUGUUUGGGUGCAGGUGAGGCUGAUUUGAGGCAAAUGUGCUUUACAGAUCUACAAUCUUAUACCUCACUCUGGCUGAAGCACCAGUCCCCAAGUGCAGACUUCUUGCCUGUUUCCCGUGUAACACUGUCCAACUCUGAAGGCUCCUACCCUGACCUUGGCCCUUGCUAUUUUCUUCAGUGGUUCUGAUGAUGGAAGAAUCAGAAGUGCCUGGUGUAUACUGGAAAUAGGGUGGGUGGGGGGGGGGUGGCGUGUAUAUUUUCGGGGAGUAUUUUUCCUUUUUAUCAUCUCUAUUCUAACUGUUUUCUCUGGGCACAGCUUUGCUCUAAUUAUAGCAAAGGCUAAACAAGGUGAACUUCAGUCUAGGAAUUUUUAGUUCUAUAAUUUUAUGAGAGAGAAGACUUUUUCAAAUAAUUUCCUUGCUUAUUGGUUACUUUUUAACCUGCUUUGUGGGAUCCAUGCAGUUAAUUGAUUAAUCAUCUAAUUAUUACUGGCAUGGUUAUGGAUGUUACUUACAAUCUCAAGGCUUAUUUUCCUGCAAGUGGGCAUAAAAACACAAAUUAUAGGUUUGUUCUGAGUAUUAAAUGAGAUUAUGGCCAGUGCCUAGAACAUAUAUUUGAUGAAAAAAUCAAUUCAGUUCUAUUGACACCAGCAUUGAGAUAUGCUAAAUUCAAUGGUAAUUCUGAGUUUCAGAGUUCUGAGAAUGGCUUGAAUAAGUUUAUACUAACUUACAGUAGCAACAAUUGUUGAAUGCUUACUAUGUAGAAGGCAUAGUAAGGCGUAUGUUAAAUGUGUUGUAUUAACUUAUUUAGUUCUCACUACAGCAUCAGGAGGUAGGUUCCAUCGUCUAUAUUGUUUAGCUUGGAUAGAAAUAACUUGCUUAGGGAUAGCCUGUUAGGUCUGUCUGAUCCUGAGGUGUGUACUCCAAACUAUAUUAUACUGCCUUCCUGUGACCAUUUUCUAAAUACAAGUAUCAUAUUUUGAAAGUAAGAUACAUAAAA
ensembl:lncRNA ARRDC3-AS1 ARRDC3 antisense RNA 1